GUUGGAUUGGGACUCUUUGACUGUAGACAUUUGACAGGAUGCUUCUCUUCAAGCUAUUAUUUAAGGACUUCGCACCAACCCGUAAGCCAAGAGCCCCUAUUCUGUGGUCAAUGAUUGACUUUAUUUUGAAGGGCGCUUGGUUCUUUCUGCUUCCUCUUAGUGGUUGACUCGUUUGCUUUUAGAAUGUCACACAACUUUGUCAGGGGGUCAUUCUGGAGAUUAUUGAACCUAUCGGAGAUAGCUUGCAAGUUUUUAUUGACGUGGCAUGAUGAAAAUGGUGACUUAAUUUGUGCGCUCUUGUUUGAUUUGCCAACAUCACAACUAUGAAGCUUAGUCUCCCGUAGGGCUGCUCCAACCGCUGCCAAUUCCACAAAGGAUUUGGGAAGAUAUUGCUUUAGAUUUUAUCACCGGCCUACCAAAGUCUAAUGGAGUGGAUUGCAUCCUUGUCGUGGUGGAUAAACUCUCCGAAUAUGGUCAUUUUAUUACUGUUAAGCACUCUUUUAGAGCUCAAUCAAUCGCAAAAGUUUUUGUCCAUGAGAUUGUCCGUCUCCAUGGGAUACCAAAAACAAUUGUAAGUGAUCGAGACCCUCUCUUCUUAAGUAGUUUCUGGACUGAGAUUUUUCGCCUUCAAGGCAGCUUGCUUAAAUUCAGUUCAACAUAUCACUCCAAAAUGAAUAGCCAAA
rnacentral:misc_RNA from 1 species